ACGCUUGUCCUAGUGGUAAGGGUAUCUCCCCCUCAUGGUGGAGGUUCGGGGAUCGAUCCCCAGGGAGGUGUG